rnacentral:rRNA from 1 species
AUUGAACGCUGGCGGCAUGCCUUACACAUGCGAGUCGAACGGCAGCACGGGUGCUUGCACCUGGUGGCGAGUGGCGAACGGGUGAGUAAUACAUCGGAACAUGUCCUGUAGUGGGGGAUAGCCCGGCGAAAGCCGGAUUAAUACCGCAUACGAUCUACGGAUGAAAGCGGAGGACCUUGGGGCCUCGCGCUAUAGGGUUGGCCGAUGGCUGAUUAGCUAGUUGGUGGGGUAAAGGCCUACCAAGGCGACGAUCAGUAGCUGGUCUGAGAGGACGACCAGCCACACUGGGACUGAGACACGGCCCAGACUCCUACGGGAGGCAGCAGUGGGGAAUUUUGGACAAUGGGCGAAAGCCUGAUCCAGCAAUGCCGCGUGUGUGAAGAAGGCCUUCGGGUUGUAAAGCACUUUUGUCCGGAAAGAAAUCCUUGGCCCUAAUACGGUCGGGGGAUGACGGUACCGGAAGAAUAAGCACCGGCUAACUACGUG